AUUGAACGCUGGCGGCAGGCUUAACACAUGCAAGUCGAACGAGAGGCGGACGGGUGAGUAAUGUCUGGGAAACUGCCUGAUGGAGGGGGAUAACUACUGGAAACGGUAGCUAAUACCGCAUAACAUCAGAUGUGCCCAGAUGGGAUUAGCUAGUAGGUGGGGUAAAGGCUCCCCGAGGCGACGAUCCCUAGCUGGUCUGAGCGGAUGACCAGCCAAACUGGAACUGAGACACGGUCCAGACUCCUACGGGAGGCAGCAGUGGGGAAUAGUGCACAAUGGGCGCAAGCCUGAUGCAGCCAUGCCGCGUGUAUGAAGAAGGCCUUCGGGUUGUAAAGUACUUUCAGCGAGGAGGCGUUACCCGCAGAAGAAGCACCGGCUAACUCCGUGCCAGCAGCCGCGGUAAUUC
rnacentral:rRNA from 1 species